GCCCUCGUAGAUCAACGGUUAGAUCGUCCUCACUUCAUCUAUUGUAAUCCAGAGCCUUUGGAGGAAGUCGCGGGUUCGACUCCCGCCGAGGGCA